rnacentral:rRNA from 1 species
GACGAACGCUGGCGGCGUGCUUAACACAUGCAAGUCGAACGGUGAAGCGCUUUCCUUUUUGGUUGGUGUGGAUGAGUGGCGAACGGGUGAGUAACACGUGAGUAACCUGCCCCCUUCUUCUGGAUAACCGCAUGAAAGUGUGGCUAAUACGGGAUAUUCUGCGCCUGCUGCAUGGUGGGUGUGGGAAAGAUUGUGCCUUUGGGUGUUUUCGGUGGGGGAUGGGGUCGCGGCCUAUCAGCUUGUUGGUGGGGUGAUGGCCUACCAAGGCGGUGACGGGUAGCCGGCCUGAGAGGGUGGACGGUCACACUGGGACUGAGACACGGCCCAGACUCCUACGGGAGGCAGCAGUGGGGAAUAUUGCACAAUGGGCGCAAGCCUGAUGCAGCGACGCCGCGUGAGGGAUGGAGGCCUUCGGGUUGUGAACCUCUUUCGCCAGUGAAGCAGGCCUGCUCCUUGUGGGUGGGUUGACGGUAGCUGGAUAAGAAGCGCCGGCUAACUACGUG